GAAAUGCGAUAAGUAGUGUAAAUUGCAGAAUUCAGUGAAUCAUCGAAUCUUUGAACGCACAUUGCGCCCCUUGGUAUUCCAUGGGGCAUGCCUGUUCGAGCGUCAUUUGUACCCUCAAGCUCUGCUUGGUGUUGGGUGUUUGUCCCGUCUCCGCGCGUGGACUCGCCCCAAAGUGAUUGGCAGCCGGCGUACUGGUCCCGGAGCGCAGCACAUGUCGCGCAAACGAGUGCCUUGGUACGGCGGCGUCCAUAAGCCCCUCUCUCACGCUCUUGACCUCGGAUCAGGUAGGGAUACCCGCUGAACUUAAGC
rnacentral:misc_RNA from 1 species